rnacentral:rRNA from 1 species
AGCAGCCGCGGUAAUUCCAGCUCCAAUAGCGUAUAUUAAAGUUGUUGCAGUUAAAAAGCUCGUAGUUGAAUUUCGGGGUUAGUAGGUUGGUCAUGCCUCUGGUAUGUACUGGUCUCACUGAUUCCUCCUUCCUGAUGAGCCGUAAUGCCAUUAAUUUGGUGUUGCGGGGAAUUUGGACUGUUACUUUGAAAAAAUUAGAGUGUUUAAAGCAAGCUAACGCUUGAAUACAUUAGCAUGGAAUAAUGAAAUAGGACGUUUGAUUCUAUUUUGUUGGUUUCUAGGAUCGACGUAAUGAUUAAUAGGGAUAGUUGGGGGCAUUAGUAUUCAAUUGUCAGAGGUGAAAUUCUUGGAUUUAUUGAAGACUAACUACUGCGAAAGCAUUUGCCAAGGAUGUUUUCAUUAAUCAAGAACGAAAGUUAGGGGAUCGAAGACGAUCAGAUACCGUCGUAGUCUUAACCAUAAACUAUGCCGACUAGGGAUCGAAUGAUGUUAAUUUUUUAAUGACUCA